UGGGGAAUAUUGCACAAUGGGGGAAACCCUGAUGCAGCGACGCCGCGUGGGCGACGAAGCGCUCCGGCGCGUAAAGCCCUGUCAGCAGGGAAGAAAAAAGACAGUACCUGACCAAGAAGCCCCGGCUAACUACGUGCC
rnacentral:rRNA from 1 species